CCGCAGCGGAAGCUUGACCCUGACCAAAUGCCUAGUCCGAUCCAAGUAAUAACUGAUGACCAACGUGCGAAGUCCGGAAAAUUC